CUCGCAAGAGAGGCAGGCGACCACGGUGGGCUUAGCGACUGGGGUGAAGUCGUAACAAGGUAGCCGUAGGGGAACCUGCGGCUGGAUCACCUCCUUUCUAAGG
rnacentral:rRNA from 1 species